rnacentral:rRNA from 1 species
GAUGAACGCUGGCGGCGUGCCUAAUACAUGCAAGUCGAGCGAACAGACGAGGAGCUUGCUCCUCUGACGUUAGCGGCGGACGGGUGAGUAACACGUGGAUAACCUACCUAUAAGACUGGGAUAACUUCGGGAAACCGGAGCUAAUACCGGAUAAUAUAUUGAACCGCAUGGUUCAAUAGUGAAAGACGGUUUUGCUGUCACUUAUAGAUGGAUCCGCGCCGCAUUAGCUAGUUGGUAAGGUAACGGCUUACCAAGGCAACGAUGCGUAGCCGACCUGAGAGGGUGAUCGGCCACACCUGAACUGAGAAACGGUCCAGACUCCUAAGGGAGGCAGCAGUAGGGAAUCUUCCGCAAUGGGCGAAAGCCUGACGGAGCAACGCCGCGUGAGUGAUGAAGGUCUUCGGAUCGUAAAACUCUGUUAUUAGGGAAGAACAAAUGUGUAAGUAACUAUGCACGUCUUGACGGUACCUAAUCAGAAAGCCACGGCUAACUACGUG